GCAGCCCCUCCUCUCUCCACAAGCUCCUGCAUUCUUUAUCAGUUCUUCCCACAUUUGGUCAUGUGACCAUGAAGGAGCAUGUGACCAGUGACGUCACAGACCUCCUUCUAACAGCUCCACUCUAGCAUCUACCCUGCUGUGGAGUCUGGAGCCUCUUCUCUCUGGUAUCAGCCAUUAGCAGAGCCCUGUGCCUGAUGAGAGCACUCAGUGUGUGGCCCCGGUAGAAGUGGCUGCAGUGGAGCCGAUGAUCAUGAUGGUGGCAAAUAAAACAAACCACAAACCUGAAGAUAGACUACGUAAGCUGGCACGCAGGAGCAGAGCAGUGGGGAUCAGGUGCCUGCAGUACUAGAAGCCUCCAGCUCCUCCAGUUCUCCCCUCUUCUCCUGAAUGACAACCAAGGAUGGACAGGAAGGAGAUCAGCAGAAGAAUAUUAGACCUCACCUUGGAGAUCAUCUACCUGUUGAGCGGAGAGGAUUACACCAUUGUGAAGAAGACAUCGGGGGGGACUCCCAUCAUCCAUGGGUCAGGAG